CCUACGGGAGGCAGCAGUGGGGAAUAUUGCACAAUGGGCGCAAGCCUGCUGCAGCAACGCCGCGUGAGCUAUGAAAGCCUUCGGGUCGUACAGCUCUGUCCUCAAGGAAGCUAAUGCCGGUACUUGUGGCUCACGCCCCGGCUAACUCCGUGCCAGCAGCCGCGGUAAUACGUAGGGGGCUAGCGUUAUCCUGACUUACUGUGCGUAGCGGGUACGUCGGUGGUUUCUUAAGUCAGGGGUGAAUGGCUACGGCUCAAACGUCGUAAGCCUUUGACACUGGGGAACUUGAGUGAAGGAGAGGGGAGCGGAAUUCCUGGUGUAGCGGUGAAAUGCGUAGAUAUGAAGAGGAACACUAGUGGCGAAGGCGGCUCUCUGGACUGUAACUGACACUGAGGCACGAAGGCGUGGGGAGCAAACAGGAUUAGAUACCCGAGUAGUC
rnacentral:rRNA from 1 species